AACGAACGCUGGCGGCAUGCCUAACACAUGCAAGUCGAACGAGACCUUCGGGUCUAGUGGCGAACGGGUGCGUAACGCGUGGGAACCUGCCCUUAGGCUCGGAAUAACUCCCCGAAAGGGGUGCUAAUACCGGAUAAUGUCUUCGGACCAAAGAUUUAUCGCCUUUGGAUGGGCCCGCGUUGGAUUAGCUAGUUGGUAGGGUAAAAGCCUACCAAGGCGACGAUCCAUAGCUGGUCUGAGAGGAUGAUCAGCCACACUGGGACUGAGACACGGCCCAGACUCCUACGGGAGGCAGCAGUGGGGAAUAUUGGACAAUGGGCGAAAGCCUGAUCCAGCAAUGCCGCGUGAGUGAUGAAGGCCUUAGGGUUGUAAAGCUCUUUUACCCGGGAUGAUAAUGACAGUACCGGGAGAAUAAGCUCCGGCUAACUCCGUG
rnacentral:rRNA from 1 species